ACGAACGCUGGCGGCAGGCCUAACACAUGCAAGUCGAGCGCACCUUCGGGUGAGCGGCGGACGGGUUAGUAACGCGUGGGAACGUACCCUUUUCUACGGAAUAGCCUUUGGAAACGAAGAGUAAUACCGUAUACGCCCUUUGGGGGAAAGAUUUAUCGGAGAAGGAUCGGCCCGCGUUAGAUUAGAUAGUUGGUGGGGUAACGGCCUACCAAGUCUACGAUCUAUAGCUGGUUUUAGAGGAUGAUCAGCAACACUGGGACUGAGACACGGCCCAGACUCCUACGGGAGGCAGCAGUGGGGAAUCUUAGACAAUGGGCGCAAGCCUGAUCUAGCCAUGCCGCGUGAGUGAUGAAGGCCUUAGGGUCGUAAAGCUCUUUCGCCUGUGAUGAUAAUGACAGUAGCAGGUAAAGAAACCCCGGCUAACUCCGUGCCAGCAGCCGCGGUAAUACGGAGGGGGUUAGCGUUGUUCGGAAUUACUGGGCGUAAAGCGCACGUAGGCGGAUUGGAAAGUUGGGGGUGAAAUCCCGGGGCUCAACCCCGGAACUGCCUCCAAAACUAUCAGUCUAGAGUUCGAGAGAGGUGAGUGGAAUUCCAAGUGUAGAGGUGAAAUUCGUAGAUAUUUGGAGGAACACCAGUGGCGAAGGCGGCUCACUGGCUCGAUACUGACGCUGAGGUGCGAAAGUGUGGGGAG
rnacentral:rRNA from 1 species